AUAAUAAUAAUAAUAAUUUAAAAAAACCUUCAGAAUUCAGAUGCCUUUUCUUGUGGUGUCCUUAACCAAAGUCAGCCCAUAUUGGGCAUCAGAAUUUAUAUCCAUAUUAGGUUGCAAUUCAGGUUCAAUUUCAUGUACAUUGCUUGUGGAUCGAAGGCUUGAUUCCAUCAACUGUGAUACUCUUCUUUUGGCUGCGGUUUACUGGUUUCUCUAAUAAAAAGGCCUCAAUUUUGGAUGGCCAAGUGACACUAGUAGAUCUCCUGAAAUGGCUUUAGACCUUGCAACACUUUGGUAUUUUAUUUAUCAGUUCUUUAGUUUCUACAAACUUGUCAUUACAUUGAUUAGAAUGGGCUGAAUAUAACAGGCGAGACAAUAACUUUUUCUUGUUGUCAUCAUAGCUUUCCAUUUGUGAAUUGUAGAGGCCGCACUCAUAUGUAUUGGUCGUAAUGUUAUAUUUGUGAUUCUAGGACUUUGAGAGUGCAUAUUCCACAUAUGACAUAUCAAAUGCAUGAGAAAGGCUUUCAAUAUUAUACAUAGAGCACCAAAUAAUUUUAUUGUGAAAAAACAACGGUUGAUUAGUGGCUAGUAACAUUAUCGCUUUUCCAAAUAAGUGAAUCACUGAAGCAUUUUUUCCCCUUUCCACGUACGUUAGAAUUUGUUUAGUGUUUACGAAGAAAUCACUUUAUCUUAAGUUCAUAUAUGAAAAGGAAAUAAGCCUCAUUUGAGGACAUGCUUCAUCUUGAUUCACCAUUGUAAGUAUUGAAGAAAAGACAAAAUGUGUAUACGUAGAUUACUUGGAAGUGUCCUUGUUGGACUUUCAUUAUUCACCAGUUCUGUUUGUAUAUGCCAUAGAUGAUCCAAAGAAACAGACCACUUGCUCUUAUUGGAGCUAAGGAGAGACUUUGGUUAUUUAAAGCAAAUUUAUUGGAUGAAAAAAAAAAAAAAAAAAAAAAGAAUCUUUUGUAGUUUAUGGAUGUGUAGGCAUAUUUUAUACAGCAUGCCCUGUUUCUCUUGCAGUCAGUGACCCACGAUUCAUCCUAUUACAUUUUUGUCACGUUUAGGCAAAGUCAUCCAAUCUAUAUAUUGCUCCAAUUUUUCUACAAAUAUGGUGAAUUUACUCUCUUAAUUAUUUUUGUUUGGUUGGUACUCCUUGUUGCAUUUAUCAAUUUACAACUUAGAAGAACUCAUGCAUGAUUACUUAAUUUGGCAAUCUGUAAUUCUACCUUUGUGGAUGUGCUCGGCAAAAAAUUAAAAGGUACUUAUGUUGAUUAUAUUGAAGCGAUAGAGUUUGGGUAUAGAAAGUGAAUACCCAAAUUGAGAAACUAAACUUGAUUUUGGAGAAGAGGAUUGCCAAGCCUUAAUCCAAAGUAGUUCUAAAAAAAUGCAAAGAAAAGAUUUUAUUGCUAAAUUUCAUUCAACUUUUUCCCAUGUUUCAGGCAAAUUUGAUCUAUCCAGCAGUCAAGGGAACACUUAAAACAUUUUUGGAUCAUGUCAAACUUUCCCUCUAUGAAGAGACUGAUUGUAAUAUCUUCAAUCUCUGCAAUCAUGUGCAAUGGAAAAUAUGUUAUCCUUGAUGCGUUGUGGAUAAGACUUGGUUUUCUGAUCCAGUUGCUUGUGAGGAAUUGGAAAGCUGAAUAUUACUGAAAUUGGAGAACAACAAGGUACAUGAAGAGAUUACAAUAUUAGAGGCAGUCCAGGUGAAUGAGAUGCUUCACCAUUGGAGGGGAGAAACCUUUCCAAUCCUGGCUGAUCUCAUUACAUCUACCAAAGCGAGCAAGUUCAUGUGUGACCCUGUCGUUGUCCCUUUUCAAGUGUCUAAUCUUCCAGCUGCUGAAACAACCUGUGAGGCUCAAAAUUCCUUGGGCAAGAUGGCCAAUUUCUUCGCUGUUUUCUUUUGCCACAAUACUCUGAACCACAGGGAGGGAAUCUGUCUCAGUGAUGACUUGUUGAAGCUCUAGUUCCUUAGCUAGCAAAAUCUCAACUAAACCCCUUCAGGGGGUCUUUUCCAGCUUAUUUCACAAGCGGAUGGUUCAUGGAGGAAAUAGUUGGAGGCCUCUUUAUAGUCUUGAAGCAGGUUUGACGCAAAGUUCCAAUUCUGGGAUGGAGUUUGGCCCUCGGCUUCAUGCACCAUUUGAUUUCGGCUAUACCAAAUUGACCAUGCUGUCACUACCAUAAUUUCCAGAUCCUUGGUUGUCCCUUCAGCUAGGAUGUGUAGUGAGACAUCCGAGAAGUCAUGGCUACUGUCACUCAUUGCAACUGGACAUUCCUUCCAUCUCUCCCACACUUCGUUAGCAAACUUACACUUAAAAAUAGCGUGGGGUAUGGAUUCCGUCUCUGAUUCGCACAAAGGGCAGGCACUAUCAGUAUUAAUUCCUCAAAGAGAUCUCAUUUAGAUUUGCAUAUGUUUAAGAAGAGGAAUUGAUAUUAUUGGUUUUGGGGAUUAUGAUAUAUAAUUGUAUUCUUUUUAAAGGUGCCUUACCUGAACUCCGGUUUCACCAUGUGUAAAAGACGUUAUUAACUCUGCAUUACAUAUUUACAUGCUUAUUUGUGCAUGUGUUUCUCAACA